UACGUAGGCAGCGAGCGUUGUUCGGAAUCACUGGGCGUAAAGCGCACGUAAGCGGAUUGUUAAGUCGGGGGUGAAAUCCUGAGGCUCAACCUCAGAACUGCCUUCGAUACUGGCAAUCUCGAGUCCGGAAGAGGUUGGUGGAACAGCUAGUGUAGAGGUGAAAUUCGUAGAUAUUAGCUAGAACACCAGUGGCGAAGGCGGCCAACUGGUCCGGUACUGACGCUGAGGUGCGAAAGCGUGGGGAGCAAACAGG
rnacentral:rRNA from 1 species